UAAAAUGAAGGGUAAAAUGGUAAAAAAAAGCUUUAUGAUUUGGUGAUGACUAGGUUAGAGAGUCAUAAAACCUACCGUUGAAAGGGAGGUACAAAGAGAAAGUAUUUUGUGAAGAGAAAAAUAGAGAGAACGGGGAGAAAAGAAAAGAAAGAAGAGGAAGAGAAGAACAAAGGAGAACAAGAAGAGAGGGACUUGGAGCUUGAAGUUUAGAGAUUAGGAGCUUCAAAUUCCAACCAAGGUGAGAGAGUAGAUAUAUUAAUUCAUAUGGAGAUGGUUCAAAAGAGGGGAG
rnacentral:lncRNA from 1 species